AUGAUUAACCAAUUCAUGGAUCCCAGUAAUUUACGUUACUAGAAUAGUGGGAUCUCUACACGUUGUCUUUUUCUUUCUGCCAGCACAAAUAAUUCCCAUGUCUUCUUAUCAUCCAGGAGGAUUAAUAUAGAGAAAUCUCACUUCUUCAAAAUGUACAGAUAACUAGCGUAGGACAGUGCUGAAGCCUCGGUGACAAGUCAUGUGCUAUUCUCAUCCCAGGAAAACUAAGAAAGAAAAUGAACAGUCUGAGGUCUGAGAAAGAGUAUAAUAGAAAAUGGCCCGAUUCACAACUAAUCUCCAUGGAGGAAUAGUCUUCACACAGAUGAGACACCAAAAGACAGAGCUUUUGUGUAUAGGACAGCAGUAACACAAAAAGAAACAUGAAACCAGGAGAGCUGACCAUCUUACGAUGUGAAGAACGGUGUUUCUGUGACCUGUGCUCCAAUUCCCAGAACUAUGCCAUUUUCCCAUGACCCUUAAUCUCCAGUCACUGAAAUGUGGUACAAACAGGAUUCCAAUGUGCUUGGCUAAGGAAAGUGGAAAAUUGAAUGAGGGGAUGAGGCCAUCAAUAUGACCGGACUUAUGUUUUACUCUGUACUAAUCCUUGCCUCACCGUUGUACGCCAUCCCAGUUGACUGGAGUAAUCCUUGUGUAGCCAUUAGCUGGUUGGAAAAGCCCGACACCCUGCGGUCAUAUUUAGUACUACAGUUACUUCUCCACUCGGGUGUCCCAGAGGGACUGGCCUGGCUGGAUACAGUACCAUAGAAGGUACUGGAUUUUCUUUGAAUGCCAUCAGGUGACCUGGUUCCCAGCUUCUUCUUUGUGCAAUAGCCAUUGCUUUCCGCCUCUUAGUACAGAAUGGGCUUGCAGCAUUAAGAAUCCCUUCAGACGCGCGUUCUCAUCUCCAUGAGGAUGGGGAACAGAGUUCUAGAAAACUAUGCACUAGGUCCAACUCACUGAGGGACUGCAAGAAGAGCAACUUUUAAAUUUUCUUUAUUUAUAGACAUUUCAGAACCAUUUAAAUCAACCAUGAAUUUUUUUAGACAUAACAUACCAUGUUUAUCUUGAGGUACACAUUGGGCCCGUUAGAUAAUGCUCUGGAAAGUAAUACAACUGUUAACUGGUAGUUAACGCCCUCGGUUUUCCAAGCAAAGAAGCUAUAAAGGUGGUUACAAAAUUCUUUGAAAAGAAUAUACCAUUUCCAUUUAAAUCAAGGAAAACUCCCCCAUUUUUAAUUAAUUGAGUUUAAUUUUUAGGCUUAGUUUCAACAAUGUUUUAAAUGGAACUUCGUAUGAAAAUGGGAGAAGAGAUUGAUAGCUAAGAAAUGAUCUGAGCCCCUACUAUAUGAGAUUGUAAACAAAGGAAAUUUGUAAUCUGAUCAGCUCAUUACAAAAUUCAUAGCCUAAAAAUUAGAGCAGCAAAAUUACAGAAGAUAUUUGUACAUAGGUUUAACUGAAAUCACGUUUACCCCUUGCUUCUGGUUUCCACCAUGAGAUCAAUUUUAAAACACCCGGUUUCAAAGACUAAACGGCAAUGGGACAAGAAGCGGCUGUGAGAAUUCCACACACAGUUUUACAGCCCCCUAGGGCAAAAAUCCUCCUUCUCGUCAUUUGCACUUUGGGUGUUCUACACUUCCUGCCCUAGCAGCCAGUUGCCUUUGUAUUACUAGAAAAAGAGUGGGAAUUGACGUAUCCAACAGCAGAUUUAGCUUUUCUGGUGGAUGACGCAGAAAUUUCCUUUGAAUGGUUCACGAGGUACUUUGGAGAACUGUUUUGUUUUCCAGUUUGUGAUUCAAAAUGUUAACUUCAUACUCUUUAAGCAUGACGCGUAGUGACUUGUUACACAGUGUUUGGAAAAUGGACCCUCUAUCCAUCCACAGCCACCCCCUGAACUUCUCAAGGAGUUGUAGGGAUGAUGUGCAGGUGGUUCUGGAAUGUGAGCAGAGGGUGUUUAUGUGUGUGUCUGAAAACAGUUGGAAUGGAUUGUCAUAACAGUUUCCCGUAAGAUUGUUUUAUUUCUCCAUGAGACAAGAAUAAACACUGCAAUUCAGUCGAAUGGGCGGCUUGCUGCAACUUCAUAAACUUGAAUGGUAUAUGUGGGUUGAAAGAGUAUAAAUGUAAAUUUCACAGUUCAUAAAGUUGAGCAGCUCAACUUAAAAGAGAGAGAAUGUGCUGGCGUUUACAAGAUUCUGAGAAAGAAUCGGUCUGGGAGGGUGUGAGUUCUCCCUUCCAGCAUGAGUUAGGUCCAUAUUUUUACAUUUUAGCUGCUUGAUUUGGCUUAUUGCUGAUUUUCUUUUUUGAUGGGGGCCAUGAAUGUAAACCCCAAACAGGGUCCUGUUUAGACAGGCACUUUCCCCUAAGCCCCAUGGUUACUGCCCUGACGGCAGGGAACCUGCUAGAAGAUGUACUCAAUCUUGACUUGGUUGGUUAGAAAAGAUUCUGCAUCUGGGGAUCUCUAUGCAUCGUUUUUUCACUGCAAAACUGCAGCUCUCAGAAGGGAAAGGCCGGUUCCACCCUAUUCCCACACUGCCUUUCUGGCCAUGAUUCUCUCUAGCAGUGCAUGCCUCAUCUAGUCAGGGUGCCGAGGUCCUCUACAGACAAGGGUUCAGCUCAGUAAUGGCGGCUACCUUUAUUUGUGCCUUUAGAGAGGCCAGAAGAUAUUACAGUUAAAAAUGUUGCCAAUCAGUAAAAGAGAACACUAGCCAGUGGUAGUCCGAGAUACUUUCUGCCUCCAACAUAUUCCAAAUUUUAAUGGUCUCAUGGUGUUUAUUUUUUAUCCCUUUAAUGGAGACUGCCAUUUCUUCCAUCUGUGGAUUCUUUCAAGACAUAACACACUUAACUCUCCAUACAUCCAACUGCCCAGAAGAUUUCAUGUCUCUUUUCGUCACACAUAUGCAGUCUCAGCAACUGUGAUUUUAAAUAUAAACAUUAGGAGCUCCAAGAGGGCACAAGCCACAUCUUUUUUUUUUUAGUAUUGUCGAGUCACACAGCAUGGUUCCUGGCAAUAAGAGGUGUUCAACAAAUCUGAAUACAUGACCCAAGGGCCACAGUGCCUGUCUCCAAGCAGUCUCUACAUUGCCACCAAUAUAAACUCGAUAUAAAUAUGCCAAGACAGAACACAGAAACUAUUUGUGUCAAGUUCUUGGAAAAGAAAAAACAAAAAGAGAAACAUAAAAGGGGUCAUUUGUGUAUGUGGGGCAACCUUCAUAGUAAACCCAAAGCCAGUCGGUUCCUCCUGCCUGAAUUUGAGAAUUGUGUCCAGGGGUCAGGCGUUUAAAAGCAGAUUCCGUGAGGAUUUGUUAAAGAAAAAAAAUGCAGCUUUUCAACUGCAUCCUGUCUGUUUUUGUUUUCAAGGAAGUUUCUGAGAGGUUAAUGUUGCUACGGAAGUGGUGGCUUAUACAGAAGGAUGUUUUCUAACCGGCAAAGUCACUGAGGGUCUCUUGUCAUGUGAGUGCGGUACCAGAAACUCCUUUGUAAUAAAUAUUUCAGUUACUCCUGGAGGGGCACUCCAGUAUGACGAAUUUUACAAGAUACUCUCCUUAUGGGGUCAUUCUACCCAGAGUAUUUACAUUUUGGGAGAAAUGUUAUGGGGGAAAAAUGCCCCUUUAAAAAAAAAAAAAAAAAGAGAAGAUUUAUGAUGGCAAAUGAGAAGACGCAUCAAUUCACCUCAAUUCUAUACCACGAGAUGGAUUAAGCAUCUUUAACGUCAAGAAAUAAAGCCAUCUUGCAUGUUGCCUUAUUGUGGGUCUUGUCUUUACAUUUGUUUACUUAUGUUGGUCAGUGGGAUGAAUAGAUAACAAGAAGCCAACCCUGAAGUCAUGUUGGCACCUGGUUGGCUGACCUCAGUCACAGAUGUCUGCACAUCCAGAAUCAAUGUGGGGGGAGACAGGGCUAUGGCUGACGGCUUGCUCGGAGAACUCUAGCUUUCCUAAGAUAUACAUUCCUUCAAAAAGUCAAGAAUGAUGACGAGGACAUUAUAGUUUGGAAUAUCUAAUCACAUUUGGCAAAACCUGUCAGAAUCAUGUCCUGGAAUCCUCAAUAAUAAAAGUAUGGUAAUAAUACAUUUUCUUUGGAAGAGAGGAAAGAAGAGGCUUAUGAACUAAAUAAGUACUUACUGAUACUUUAAAAAAUUACUCAACAUAUCUAGCACGCACAAUAACAGAAGAUCGUAUGAUUUCUGAGCUCUGGUGAAGCACAAAGCACGUUGAGAACACCUAACACGCUCUGAGAAAUGCUUUUCAGACCUCUCACUGUUGGACACCAGGAAUAUAAGACCCUCAAACAGGAGACAAAUAAUCCUUUGACAAGACACUGUCGUUUUCCCAGACACCAGCAUGCGAGUAUUAUAUGCAAACUACCCCACAUGGGCUUACAAUCAAAUGUAAUUCUUCAAUACAGACACUCUACUGAUUUCCUCUAUGCUUUCAGUGAUGAAGACCAGUAAGACUGAGCGUCAAGGGAAAGGGUUCUGAGAAUCUUUGGAAUCAUUCUGCCCACUCUUCCUAAGAGGCAACCUAAUUAAUGGCCCCAAACCUCAAUCGAUAUUUGAAAGUGAACAGAUGUUAUCUAAAACAUCAGACUAAUAAUGAUGCUUAAAACAUGUUUGCAUUGUGUAUACAUCUAUACACAUAUAUGUAUAUGUUCUGCUCUUUUCUUCCACUGCUCGAGAAAAUUAGCAGCAGUUACAGAUAAAUGAUUGUGGUCAUAAUUUGUAUUAUUUCUAAGGACGUCAUACACCUUCUAUCAACAUAUGACUUUUGGAAAAUGCCUUUUGAUGAAAAGAUCCCCACCGAGCAUAUAACAAACAGUAAAGUGUCAUUUCAUAUCACUAACAUUUUCAGGCACAAGAGUAAAACAAUUAGCACUGAGCAAUCCAAACGACAGAGCACAGAAUAGUUAAUUGUCUAAAGUCGAUUUUCCCAAAGGAGAGAACUGUUGUUCAAAAGUGUUGUUUGUUUUUGUUUUUGUUUUUUGAUUCUUAUGUUUUUUUUUCAGCUUUGGCUAUUUUGUAAUAAAUACCAUACCUUCUCGCAUAAACCUACUUGGGUAAGAAUUCUCUCUCUGAACAUGCCUUUUGUCUUUUAGCAGCUGUUGAGUGUUGAGUGAUGUACAAGGCACACCUCUAAGUGUUCUGUACAGCAUUUUUAUUGAUGUACAAAAUAGCCUGUUCACCAUUCAAAAAUGUAAUCUGCAUAGUAGGAGUGUCUCUUAUCCCUAUUUACAGAGAAGGUUUUUAGUGCAAAAAACAUGGAAUUGUGUCCCAGCGCACCCCCUCUGGCACACACGUACAUCAGUUUCGUCCAAUGCUAGCUGGGGUUGUUUGGCUAUAUUUUGGGCCUCCAGCCAUUAAUGAAUUGCAUUAUUUUCUUCACCUGCAGUUUGCUCAAUUUGAAAUCCUCCGAGAGGAUUUCUUCCGUUAGCUGAACGAGCAAAUUCCCGUCGAUCUUUUCGCUAACAAAGAACGAUAUGACAUCUUCAGACAAACCGAUAAACCGUAACGACUUGGACACUUCCUCUAUAGAGAGUCCCGACAGGUCAGCGGGUGGCUGCCACGGGGAGCCAUCGCCACAGGACCUGGGGGCCAGCUGGAGGUGAAGCGGAGACGAGAAAGGGUAGGAGACGGAGAAGAUGUCCUGCAUGCCCUUUUUAACAAAGUACUGGUCUUCGGAGAGGUCCGGUGACCCGGACUUGGGGUCUUCCUCAGCACCAUCAAUUUUCAGAGGCAAAGGAGAAGUGUCCGAGGCGGCUUUCUCUUCCACCGGUUUUGGGGCCCUGGGGGGUAAGGCAGGGCACGAGAUACUCUGCUUGCUUGUGUCCGCGGCCAGUGUUUUCGCAUCUGUGCUCUCCACAGAGUAGCUGGCUGACUUGGGACAGGCAGAGACGCCGCCACUGAAUUCUGAAGUGACCGAGCCGGGGGGGCUGGCCGAGAGCUCAUGGCCGUCAAAAUCAAAGGGUGCUGGGCAGUUUCUCUUUGGUGUGCCUGGCGUCUUCUGUCUGGGGUAACUGUAACUCCUGCUUGGCCCCGGCAGGAAGUCCCCCCUGCUCUGGUUCUCCGACGCUCCCGAAUAGUGGUUGGGCCACGAGAGCCUGGAGGAAAGGGUUUCAGCAGAAGGACUGCCCGUCGGGGACUUGGGGUCCACGGAAUCGGCUUUUGCUCGGUUACAGGGAUAGCAGGACACGGGAGCACUCUCAGAAGGCCCGGUGUCACUUUUAGGAACGCUGCUUAAAAGCAAACACAGAAAGGGCGGUGAGUAACCUAAAAGCCAACUACCAAGCCCAUCUUUAUCCCACAGAUGUCACUUCUGAGUAGAAAAACAGAGGUAGGAAGAAAAAUCUAGGAUUUCUUAUUGUGAAUUCGAUGAAGUACCUGCUAACCUCACUGGGUUAAAAAAAAUCUUUACGUUACUAAGAUGCAUUGGUAAUUACGGAAAUGAAUUAUAAUGAUUUAACGUGCUCUAGUGGAGAUGGAAAAAAUAUAUAUGUUUUUUAAACUAACAAGAAAAUCAUUGUUAGGGGGUGCCUGGAUCUUUAUGAGGAGACACAUUCUUGGGCCAGGUUUAGGCUUAUCACCAACAGGCAGUGUCACUCAUUACUAAUGUCUGUAGUGGGGAAGGGUGGGAGGAGGGCAGAAAAUGGGUGCCUCAUGCCCGUCAUCCUUGUGCUAUGGGACAACACUACAUCAUUACCACCUAUGUCUCUAUUCCCAUCCAAAAGUCUGAGGUAAGAAGAAACGCUUCAAACACAAUGCUUGCCUUGGUUUCUAUAUAACUGACUAAAACUAGCGUAAGGAUUUAAAUGUCCAGAGAAUUAAAAAUACCUGCAAAAGAGAGCUAUUUUUAAGUGUGAAGACCAUAUGUGGAGUCAUGCGUUCAGCUCUGGGGCCCGAUUUUAAGUGUCAGUGAAGCCAGAGUGUGUUCAGAGGUGGGUGACCAGGCUGACGAGGGACCAGGCAGCGAUGUCAGCGGAAAUAGCUGGCGGAACUGAGGCAGCCUCUUUUGGAGAAGAGAAGACUUACAUCUGACUUCAAAUUAUUCACAGGCUGACAAAGAGAAGCAGGGAGGAUCUAUUUUUGUGUUUCUAGACAUAAGAAACAGUUGAAAGUUACGUGGAGACAGAUGACAACUGGAUAUAAUGAAAGAUUAUGGAAAAAAUUAUUGGCAUUUGCCAACAAUGGAAUGAGUUGUCCUGCAGAAGAAGGAGCUCCCAGCACCAGAAGGGUCCAGAUAGAAGUCAAUGGCUACCAGACUGUAGCCAAGAAGGGAAAGGCACAGUAGAGAGCCAAUAGGACCCUUUCAAGUCUAGGUCCCGGUAGAAGGUGCUGUCUGUCUCCUUGUGCAGAAGUCGGAGCAGAAAGAACGAGAUGCCGCUUUGUGAGAACUGGCAGUCCUCCACAGCUUGCGUCUAAGAGAAUCCAGUUGGCCUUUAUGCUCCAUUUCUUACAUAGGCUGUGGUUUCUUUUCUUCCUAGGACCCUGGCUCCUCCUUCCAUCCUAACUUGAAACCAACAGGGGCCCCAUCAUGCUCUUCCAGUGAAAUUCUUUGGUUUUUAAGGAACAUUUCCUCUCCCACCUCCUGCCUAGGUUACGGCCACCCGGAAACCGUUCUCAGGACCCGGUGAGCUGGCUGACAAUAAGACACAUGCGGAGAGAGAGAGAGACAGAGCAUGAGCAGGGGAGGGGCAGAGAGAGAGGGAGAUCCAGAAUCCGAAGCAAGCUCCAGGCUCUGAGCUGUCAGCACAGAGCCCGACGCGGGGCUCGAACUCACAGACUGUGAGGUCAUGACCUGAGCCGAAGUCGGACGCUCAACUGACUGAGCCACCCAGGCGCCCCAAAGAUUUUAUUUUUUAAAGUAAUCUCUACACCUAAUGUGGGGCUCGAACUCACAACUCCGAGACCAAGAGCUGCAUGUUCUACUGACUGAGCAAGCCAGGCGCCCCUCAACUUGUUACUUUCAAUGCGCUGCUGUAGACGCUCAAAUGAAGUCACAUGCAGUUUAUGGGAAAAACUAUAUGCUUUGGUGAAAUAUAUACAUUUUGGGAUCCAGAAGGUAUAAAUAAGGAGGGUUUAUUGUGCCCUCUUACUUCCUACCUCCUACACCCUUAUAAGAGGAAUCGUUCUCCUUUUCUUUGCUUCUUGAUUGGAUUCAACAUACAUAUCCAAGAGGAGUGUAGUUGUAUUUGAAAUGAAUUUUAUGAAUUUUAUCUGACAAUGAAGGGCAAUUUACAAGACUCGAUGGCCAUUCACCCUAUUUGCAGUUUCCCCUCAUAUUCAAUUUCAUUUCUAAGUGCCACAUUUUUAGCAGAUUCCCUCUAAAAAGUCUCAGCAUGUGGCUUUCAUCCCGUUUCUUGCCAUCUCCAGAGGCACCCUCUGAUUGCUGGAUAAAGUCCAGCCUCCCCUGCUUCCCACUGAAGCUCUCUGCACUCCUUCUCACUAUUGCUUGUAGCCAGAAGAAAUGAUUCCAUCUCAUUCCAUCUCUCCAGUUACUUCUCCCACCACUGCUCUACACAAACACACAGGUCCAGUCAAAGCGGCAGGUUCAGUGUCUCCUCAACACACCUUAUGCUUGUCUGCUCCUUCCUCUGCUUUGGUUCUUACUGCCUGUCUCUUCCGAAAUGCCAUUUCCUAAGGCUCAGUGCCGACCACUGCAGGCUCGGUUUGGGACCCCGGCAUGUGGCCACCAGGACUUGUUGCUGCUCCUGAACUCAGCUCACGCUGUUUAUAUUUACUUACUUUCCAGGUAUAUUCAAUUAGCCUGAACGUGCAAAUGGUAAGGACCAUCAUCGCUGUUAAUAGUGCCCUGUGGAUGACAGAGUUAAAAUAUAUAUAUAUAUAUAUAUUGUCACCUCUGGUGCAAAUAUGUCCCACAGAAUUUAAUAAAGGUAAAGGUUAAUAGAGGUCACCAAAAAUACAAGAAAAAGGUACUUUUAUUUUAAAAUAUAUACUAUGAGAAUGCUUUUUAUAUUCUUAUGCGGAGAUUGUUAUUUUUAAAAAAAUUUUAACGUUUAUUUUAGAGACGGGUGUCAGAGAGAGGGGGACAGAGGAUCCGAAGUGCGGUCUGUGCUGACAGCAGAGAGCCCGACGAGGGGCCUGAACUCAAAAACUGUGAGAUCAUGACCCAAGCCAAAGUCGGAUGCUUAACUGACUGAGCCACCCAGGCAGCCCUGGAGAUUGUUAUUGGAAAGAAGAUGCAUUAGUAGAUGCCUGAGCAGAGAGACGGAAGGGUGCCAUCACUCAAAACCAGAAGGGACUUACGGCUUCAGAUUUGGGAGGCACUGGAGGCGGAGGUAGGGCGAUCUCUGAAGACUUCACUG